rnacentral:miRNA from 1 species
UCAACAGUCGUACUCAAGACCUCAAGACUCGAGAAUCAGAAGUGAGAGCAGUGUAGAAAAAUGUCCAUGUUUUGAUAACUGUAUUCGAG